ACCAGGAUGUCUGAUAAAAAGUAGUAAACUGUAAAUUUACUCAUGAAUGUAAUUUCUCUUGGUA
rnacentral:tRNA from 1 species